rnacentral:tRNA from 1 species
GCUCGGUUGGUGUAGUCCGGCCAAUCAUGUUGGCCUUUCGUGAAAUCCAAGCCGGCCUGAAAUAAACCGGCUUGGUUUCGAAGACAGCCGACGACCAGGGUUCAAAUCCCUGACCGAGCA